rnacentral:rRNA from 1 species
AACGAACGCUGGCGGCAUGCCUAACACAUGCAAGUCGAACGAGACCUUCGGGUCUAGUGGCGCACGGGUGCGUAACGCGUGGGAACCUGCCCUUAGGUUCGGAAGAACUCCCCGGAAGGGGUGCUAAUACCGGAUAAUGUCUUCGGACCAAAGAUUUAUCGCCUUUGGAUGGGCCCGCGUUGGAUUAGCUAGUUGGUAGGGUAAAAGCCUACCAAGGCGACGAUCCAUAGCUGGUCUGAGAGGAUGAUCAGCCACACUGGGACUGAGACACGGCCCAGACUCCUACGGGAGGCAGCAGUGGGGAAUAUUGGACAAUGGGCGAAAGCCUGAUCCAGCAAUGCCGCGUGAGUGAUGAAGGCCUUAGGGUUGUAAAGCUCUUUUACCCGGGAUGAUAAUGACAGUACCGGGAGAAUAAGCGCCGGCUAACUCCGUG